rnacentral:rRNA from 1 species
AUUGAACGCUGGCGGCAUGCCUAACACAUGCAAGUCGAACGGAGAUAGGGGCAACCUUAUUUCAGUGGCGGACGGGUGAGGAAUGCGUCGGAAUCUGCCCUAUGGUGGGGGAUAACACAGGGAAACUUGUGCUAAUACCGCAUAAUGUCGAGAGACCAAAGCAGGGGACCGCAAGGCCUUGCGCGAUAGGAUGAGCCGACGCCCGAUUAGCUUGUUGGUAGGGUAAUGGCCUACCAAGGCGACGAUCGGUAGCUGGUCUGAGAGGAUGAUCAGCCACACUGGGACUGAGACACGGCCCAGACUCCUACGGGAGGCAGCAGUGGGGAAUAUUGGACAAUGGGCGCAAGCCUGAUCCAGCAAUGCCGCGUGUGUGAAGAAGGCCUGCGGGUUGUAAACUGCUUUUGUACGGACGAAAAAGUCCAGGUUAAUACCCUGGGUCCAUGACGGUACCGUAAGAAUAAGCACCGGCUAACUACGUGCCAGCAGCCGCGGUAAA